UUCCACUGAUGACGCUUUGUUAGUGCCACGUGUCUGGGCCACUGAGACCCCAUGAUGGAACUGAGGAGCUGAGGAA
ensembl:snoRNA